rnacentral:rRNA from 1 species
GACGAACGCUGGCGGCGUGGAUUAGGCAUGCAAGUCGAACGGUAUCAUCCUUUCGGGGAUGAGAGAGUGGCGAACGGGUGAGUAACACGUAGGUGAUCUACCCUCAAGACGGGGACAACCCAGGGAAACUUGGGCUAAUACCGGAUGUGAGCUAUCGCGAGAUAGUUUGAAAGGUGACUUCGGCUGCCGCUUGGGGAUGAGCCUGCGUCCUAUUAGCUAGUUGGUGAGGUAACGGCUCACCGAGGCAGUGAUAGGUAGGCGGCCUUAACGGGUGGUCGCCCACACUGGGAUUGAGAUACGGCCCAGACUCCUACGGGAGGCAGCAGUCGAGAAUAGUCUACAAUGGUCGAAAGACUGAUAGUGCGACGCCGCGUGAACGAAGAAGCCCUUCGGGGUGUAAAGUUCUUUUAUAUGUGAGCAGUGACAUCUAUAUUAAUAGUAUGGGUGUAGAGAUAUUAGCAUAUGAAUAAGCAACGGCUAACUCCGUGCC